rnacentral:tRNA from 1 species
GCCCCUAUAGCUCAACUGGAUAGAGCAUCUCCAUCCUAAGGAGAGGGUUUUAGGUUCGAGUCCUAAUGGGGGCA